rnacentral:lncRNA from 7 species
GGCGGGUGGUGGCGGCACUGGGUUUGGGGUGGGGGUGAUGGCAGCUCCAGGGUUGGGGUGAUGGCAGUUGUGGGUUUGGGGUCGGGGCUGUGGCACUGUUGGGGUUGGGGAGCGGUUCCAGUGCUGGGUUUGGGGUCGGGGUGAUGGCAGUGCCAGGGUUGGGGUGGUGACAGCACUGGAUUUGGGGUCGGGGUUGUGGCACUGUUGGGGUCAGGGUGGUGACGGCACUGGAUUUGGGUUUGGGGGCAGUUCCAGUGCUGGGUUUGGGGUUGCGGUGGUGGCACUGUUGGGAUGAUGGCAGCAGUGGGUUUAGGGUUGAGGUGUUGGUGCUGCUGGGUUUGGGGUCGGGGUGAUGGCAGUUCUGGGUUUGGGGUCCGUCUGAUGGCAGUGCCGGGGUUGGGGCGGUGACAGCAGUGGGUUUGGGGUCAGGGUGGCAGCAGUUCUGGGUUCGGAGUUGGGGUGGUGGCACUGUUGGGUUUAGGGUGGUGAUACCUCCGGGUUUGGGGUCGGGGUGGUGAUACCUCCGGGUUUGGGGUCGGGGUGGCGCUGCUGUGAUGCUGUCCCGGUCCCUUUGCAGCUGCAGUCGGCCGAGUUCAGCUCAGCGAGCAGCGAGAAGGGGAGUCCGGGUGAGCAGAACGGCCAACGCGGGCGCAUGGACCGCGGCAACUCAUUGCCCAGCAUGCUGGAGCAGAAGAUCUACCCCUACGAGAUGCUGAUGGUGACAAACAGGGGGAGGGUGAAGCUGCCGCCGGCGUGGACAGGACCAGGCUGGAGGUAUGGGAUGGGGGGGGGGGUUGGGGGGGGGGCAGUGGGGUGAUGCUGCAGGGCAAUGGGGCAGAGCUGCAAGACAAUGGGGUGAUGCUGCAGGGCAGUGGGGCGAUGCAGUGGGGGCUGCAGCAGGAUGCGGUGGAGUGAUGCUGCAGGGCAGUGGGGCGAUGCAAUGGGGGACUGCAGUAGAGCAAAGAGGCGAUGCAAUGGGGCGAUGCUGCAGGGCAGUGGGGCAAUGCAAUGGGGGAUUGCAGCAGAGCAAUAGGGUGA